CUUCUGUUAACACAGGGAAGGAGCCUGCCAUGACCACCAAGAUGGAGGCACUGGUAGAAUUUAGAAUGAGCUACUCAUUCUACUUAAGCUACUCUUCUAGAAUGAAGCUUCAGGGAGUUCACAGGGGUUGAAAAGGACACAACAAAGGUUGGAAUAUACCAAUAAAUAUGCUGUUACUGCUCAAACAAACCACUUCCUUGUGUUGCCAUCUUCAAUCAAAAUGUAGACUGCUAUAGAUAACUUGGAAAACACAGAACACAACAACAAAAAGGUCAUCUGUGAUCAUGCCCUAGAGAGAACUACUUUUGAUAUUAAGCUGGGGAGGAUGAGGAUCUAGCACCACACACUAUCUUCUUGUCUUCCCAUUCUGCUUUCAACAUAAACCAGAGACCAUUAGGAACACAGCUGAAAGCAAGUUAAAUUUAUUAUUUUCUGCAACAAAGAAGACCCUACAUCAUAGAGAGCAAAGGAAGCAAAAAAUCAGAGGAAACCAAGAAAGAGGAAGAAAAGGGAUAUCAGAAACAGAAGAUGCACUGAGCUGAGAGGCUGGUUGGUUGGCCAGAGUUUCUCAUCAAGGAGUACAUGCUGUUUGCUCCCCAGAUGGACAGCCUGGAUGAGCUACAAAUCCACAGAGCCUGGGACACAAGAAAUUCCAAUGCUCAACAAAUGCUGCAAGUAGGUCAAACCUUCACUGGAAAACCAGGUUGGGUUGCAGACACCAGAUGACAGGAGGGGCAGUGACAGAUUGGAGUGACCCAGAGUACUGGAACAAUGAUGAAAAAGAAAAGAAACGUAAAAGAAAAAAAAAUUGAAUAGAUGGACCAGCGAAGAGACUGAAACACGAUUGAAAUUACAUCUUUUUCUCCUAGAAGUCAAAGUAUGAAGCACUUUAUAGUACAUAAACUAAGCAGACUUGAGCUUGCUGGACUUGAGCGUCAGGCUUGUGUUGGUUUAAGGGUUUGCAGGACUUGUACCACCUUGAAACUUUCUGAUUUUGGAGUAAUUGCUGUACCAGUUUUUUGUAUUUUCAGGGAGGCUACACUUCAGAUGUCUACUCUUCUGGAUUGUAGUUUGUCUACUUCAUAUAACCUUUCUGAGGCUUAGUAUUCUCAUCCACAGAAUGGGCAUAUGAUACCUCAUAGAUCGUCAUUCAGAUUAAAUGAGAGUA